rnacentral:tRNA from 1 species
UGCGCUCGUAGCUCAAUUGGAUAGAGCAACGGACUUCGGAUCCGUAGGUUGAGGGUUCGAAUCCUUCCGGGCGCGAC